CGAUGGAGUCCCGAUGUAAUUUUUGGGACUUCCGGCGAGUUACGGUGAUCGGUUUUAGGAAACUGAUCACGGAGAUUUGUGUAGGGUUUGUGAGUCGUGUAUUCUGGAUAUGUGGGUUCGAUACUGACCCGGCGGACCUUCGUAGGUUCGGUUGACGAUUGUGUACAGUUUGGAGACCGACGCGACAUUAGUGCAGGUGGGUGCUUCGAGCUGGUAGUCGGUGUCACGCCCCGAGACCUGCCUAUUUGGUCGGAUUCGAGCACGCCAACAGACCGCCAAACAGACAGAAUUUCGCCUGUACAUUCUAGGCGUCACAAUCCAUACAAAGCGCGAGGUUCCAACCAGGAACAAUAAUCAAGCAAGGAUUGCAUAAGAAGUAUCAAAAACAUAAUGCAGCUAUACUAUUACAACCAUUCAUCCCAAGUUUUACAUUUAACUUCCAAAUACAAUCGAUAUUAUUACAACCUUGUUUUCUUUCAACUCUACAACCCCUAACUAGACCGACUUGGGGUAAUGCUAUUUUUGGUCCCUGUGGUAGGGCACUAUCUACGAAGCUACGCCCUUUCCUCGCGCCGCCGCGCCGCUCGCGUGUGAACCUGAAACCCCAAAACUACAUGGGGUGAGAACUAUAUAAAUAUAGUUCUCAUUGGGUACGGCCACCCAAGGGAAGAGCUCGACCCACCAGGUCGGAAGGAGGCACUGCAAAUAUGUUAGUCCAACAAAUAUCCAUAGAUAUAUAUCAUCAUAUAAUUUAUUCAACUAACAGUUAUCAUGUUCAUGUCUCAAGACAUGCAAUAUGUAAUGUAUGCAACAAUGCAACUCAUGCAACCAUCUAAGCAGAUCAACCGAUACUACUUUCAAUCUCGUUGUCUAUAGGUCACAUCUAAUUGACUUCUAAGAAUUCCUCNCCCCGGAAAACCGGAGUUACUAUUCACUUAAGUGAAAACUAAAAGUCGCGUAUCUUCUCCAUUUUAGCUCAUUUUCGCCCGAAACUUGACGAGUGCUUAUGUAAUUAAAUUACACACAUAAACAUCAUCAACAGAGAGUUUAGUAGCACUGUCAAAAAUCUCAGUCCUUACACGAUAAUUGCUUAGUUCUGUACUCUUGUGUUUGCUGCCAAGACAUCCAAAUCGAUGUGUUUUGUGGCAGUGGGUGACUCGUGGCACGAGUCGGUGAGUUUCGGGAUACUUAGUGGGUCCUGAUGGAGUCCCGGUAUAAUUUUUGGGGCUUCCGGCGAGUUACGGUGAUCGAUUUUAGGAAACUGAUCACCGAGAUUUGUGUGGGGUUUGUGAGUCGUGUAUUCUGGAUGUGUGGGUUCGAUACUGACCCGGCGGACCUUCGUAGGUUCGGUUGACGAUUGUGUACAGUUUGGAAACCGACGCGACAUUAGUGCAGGUGGGUGCUUCGAGCUGGUAGUCGGU
rnacentral:lncRNA from 1 species